rnacentral:rRNA from 1 species
UACGUAGGGGGCAAGCGUUGUCCGGAAUUAUUGGGCGUAAAGAGCGUGUAGGCGGUCCGGUAAGUCAGCUGUGAAAGUCAAGGGCUCAACCCUUGAAUGCCGGUUGAUACUGUCGGGCUAGAGUCCGGAAGAGGCGGAGUGGAAUUCCCGGUGUAGCGGUGAAAUGCGCAGAUAUCGGGAGGAACACCAAUGGCGAAGGCAGCUCGCUGGGACGGUACUGACGCUGAGACGCGAAAGCGUGGGGAGCAACAGG